UUGAUUAUCUAAGUAAUAAAUUAUAUCUCAUUAAAAAUAUUCUACAUAUAAAAUUUCACAUCAUUCCCGUUAACUUUUUUAACGGUAUUUUCAUUAAAUCUGUUAGAAAAAACACAUUGAGAAAAAAAACAAAAGUUGAUGGCCAAAAAAGCUCAAAAAUAUAAUUAGUACUGUGAUACCCAAUUGUUGCCCAGGGCCCAAAUUAACCAAUUCUGACCCAAUAAGGCCCAAAUCAUUACAAAUCCCAAACCGAAGUCUAACCCUGGCCUAACCCUAAACAGCUAGCAGCAAAAUUAGCAGCCGCGGCAACCUCACCCACGCCUCAACAUCGCCCCAUGUUCAGCACUUUGCGCACGUCCUCCACGACCUUCAUACCUGCGAAAAACUGAUCCAAACAGCAAUAGAUGUAAAAAUAACAAAAUAGAUUUUUAUUUAUUGAUUUUGAUUAUUAUUUGGGGGGUUGGAUAUAAAAGGGCGAUUUCAAUCUGUAAAGGGGUUAGCAAUAUUGUAUGAAAAAAAUCUUAAAGAAAAUACGAAAAUAAGGAAUCAAAAAGGCAAAUUUUUGAAGGUAAUUGUUCUGUUCCUUUUUUUUAUUUGUUUUUCCUUUUUCAUUGUCUAUCUUGUUUCUUAAAACAAAAGCGGAAGAGGGAAGUAGAGGAGGACUUUUCGUCGCAUGCGGCGUUGAGGGAUCUUCAUUCCAUCGUCGGAAUGAAAGGAAUGCAGAGCGGCAGUGGGAAAGGGAGGCUGCGGCAAAACACAAAAAUGACAGAGAAAGGGAAUGAAUUUAGGGUUUUAAAAUGAGAUUUUAUAAGAGUUCAAAAGGGGCCAUUUGCGCGAUUGGUCCUUUGCUUUUUGUGGUUGUUUAAAUUAAAUUUAUUAUUUCUUUUAAAUUUUACUGCAUAUUUAAAUAUUGUUUCCAUUCGGUCCUCGUUGCUGUGAAGUGUUUGGGAGGUUUGGGUAAAUUUCUCUUUGGUCCUCCACUGCUAAUUGUGUGUUCUAAUUGGUCCAUUCGUAUUUUAUUCUUUUCAAAUUUACCUCGUUUUUUAAAUUAAAGUUUAAAUUAAUCCUUCAUUUGUCAUUUUAAGGUUUUUUUUAUAAAUACUGUUAGAUUGUUAUUAUUACUGUAAUAUUAUUAGUAUUAAAUAUUAUAUUAAAUAUUAAUAUUAUUAUACCUAUAUGUAUAUACGCAUAUGUAUGUUAAUAAAUAUAUGUACAUAUUUUAAAUGGUUUUAAAAUAUAUAUACAUGUCUUAUAUAUUUUAUUAUUAUUACUUUAGUUUUCUUAGUUUUAUAUGCAUACGUACAUAUACUUAUAUUUUAUGAUUUUCAUAUUGUUUUUCAUAUUUUUUUAAAUUCAAAUAUAUAUAUUCUUAAUAUAUGUAUAUACAUACACUCUUCAAAAUUAUUAAGUAUAUUUUCUGCAAUUUUCUUGCAUAUACAUAUAUAUACGCAUUUUUCAUAAUUUAUUUUACUUAUUUUUUUAUAUAUACCUAUACAUAUUUUACACUUUAUUUUCAUAACUUUUAUAUACAUGUUUAAUAUAUGCAUAUGCAUUUUAAAAAAUUACUUAUAUAUCAUAUUUUAUUUUGUAAAUACAUAUACAUGUAUAAUUUAAAUUAAAAUAAUAAUUUCAUGUUAUGCAUUAACAUAGAAAAAUAUAUUUUGGCUUUGUCAAAGCAUUAAAAUCAUCAUAUUUAAAGUUUUUUUUUAAAAUAUUUGGCAAUCUUGGUUCUCGAGAAAGAUCGUGUCCUAACUUACUGGAUCGCGAUUAUUUUUCGACGGAUUUAGAAAGCCGAGUAUUUAUUUUGCAAUAAGUUCACAUAAAUUUCAAAUAAAAGCUUGUUCUCGGGAAUCUAAAUGUCGGGUCCUAACUUACUGGUCCUGAUAUUUUGAUUUCUUGAAAUAAGAAUUUCUAAAACAACAAGGAGUUAUUCGGUAUUUGAAAUUUUGAGAAAUUGUGCCCUAACUUACUGGUUUUGAUUUUCUUCAUUUGAUCCAAAUAAUCGAAUAUCCUUCUUAGAUUUAACCGUGUGAGUUUUAAAAUCAAAAGACAAACUUAAUUUUGAAGAUUUAAAAGUAUUGUGCACUAACUCACUGGGUGUGAUACUUUAUUUCUUUGAAACAAGAAUGUUUUAUCAUUUUAAUUCGUUCACGAGUUAAAACUUUUCUUUUGGAAUCUUUUCAAAUUUUCGACACCAAGACAUUAAAUAAUAAAUUUGGUACCAAUUUUGGGCGGUACGAGGGUGCUAACCCUUCCUCGUGUGUAACUGACUCUCGAACCCAUUUUUUCUCAGAUUUUGUAGACUAGAAUUGUUUUAUGGUGAGCCGAUCACACCUUAAUAAAGGAUUGGUGCCGACUCCAGUUUUUUUUUUAAAGUCGACAACUAAAUUUUUGUUUUCAAAAAAAUGGUUUCGACAGCUUGGCGACUCCACUGGGGACCUAGAGAGUCGAGCCAUAAAUUGAUUAUUUUGUGUCUUUUUGUCGAAAAUUAAUGUUGUUUUAGUAAUGAUUUCCCCUUUUACAUUCAUUGGUUUUCAUUGUUACGUGUUUGUUUGAUUGGCUUAAAUUUGUUAGUUUAUUUGCAUUUUGCAUUUCAUAAAGUCAGUUUUUUUACCCUUUUAAGUGGGAGUGAAAAGCUAGUCCUUCGUGAGGUUUUCACCUCCGUACAGGGUAGUGGAUCGCUUUCGGGAUACAUCUGUACCUAUGUCUUCGUGAGAUUUUCAUCUCCGUGUAGCCAUAGGGAAAUGUGUCCCCCUGAACUGAACUCGGUCUGUAUGAGCCUAUAAUGGGUGAGGAUCAAGGAAUCUGCUGGUUCGGGUACCUUUGCCCUAGAAGCCAAACCUCAUAUAGUGAACUUUAGGAACUUGCCCUAGGUAGAACUAUACUAAACCUUAGUAGUCAUCCGAUUAGGGAUUUUAUUGUUUUCAGUUUGUUUUUGUACCUGAUACUGACUGUUUGUGUUUUUUUCUGAUUGCAUGAAAUUACAUGGCAUUUCAUUAUAAAGGCGUUGGUUCAUAUUCGGUUGCUAAACAGAAAGCUUAUCAUGGGAAAUGGGUUUCUUGAUAUAGUGGAGGACAAUGCGGCUGUCCGAACUUGGGCUGAAAUGACACAGCGUGAAAAAGGUGAUAGUUUGGCCGAGGGAUAUGUAUCGAAAUUAUGGGACUUCACCCGUGUUAGCGUAGCUCAAAAUAACUUGCAGGGGUUGAAGGAGAUAUGGGAUCAGUGGAAUAAUGAGGUUAGGCAGUUAUUCUAUUCAAAUUAUGGAGAUUUACCUUAUUUACUUGAUAUGAAGGUAGACAAGCGUCUAUUUUGAGCUCUUGCCCAGUUUUAGAAUCCGGCCUACAAUUGCUUCACGUUUGGAAAGGUUGAUUUGGUGCCUACAAUAGAGGAGUACAUGGCUUUACUUCGGUGUUCGAGAGUUCAAGUAGAUAGAAUUUAUUCAAAAGCGGUAAAUGUACCGACCUUCUUGAGGAAGCUGAUGAAUAUAAUGGGGAUGAGCGAGCAAUGGGUUACAACUGAGAUUAAGCAAAAGGGGGAUAGUAGGUGUAUUCCUUGGAAAAAUUUGAAAGACCUCAUCUUAACGCACCCAGACGCGAGGAAGAGGGUAGAUGUCUUUGCUUUAAGUAUAUAUGGUUUGAUUGUGUUUCCUAAGACUUUGAGAUAUGUGGACGAGGCGGUCACUGACUUAUUUGACCAGCUUGAUAAGAGAGUUACACCAGUCCCAGUGAUUUUGGCAGAAACCUUCAGGUCAUUGAAUGCAUGCCGGAGAGUGGGAGAGCGUAGGUUUAUUGGAUGUGCACAGCUUCUACUUGCUUGGUUCCACAGUCACUUUUGGAAGGAUGAUAGGGUUUCAUAUCGGGUCUUCUCUGAAAGUUAUUCACCAUUAAAGGAGAUAGUGGCUACGCCUAGGAGAGAUGACAUCUUGGAGGAGAAAUGAAUGGCAAUUUUUUAGAAUUUGCAAGAGGAGGAUAUCGAGUGGAGAGCUCCAUGGUUGCUUCCAGAUGAGGUCCUAUAUCGGUGUGGGGGUUUUGACUGGGUUCCUUUGCUUGGAAUUUGGGGAGCUGUUGAUUAUGCUCCAUUGUUAGUGUUGAGGUAAUACAGGUCAAGACAGUUUGUGCCUACAACUCAUGGACUGGCUGAGUGUGAAUUCUCGUAUAAAGAUAAUGGUUACAAAAAGAAAGCUCGUGAUAUGGCCAAUGCGUGGAAUUAAACUCGCCGAAUGAAGAGAUUAGUUGUGGGUCCAAUGACAACUCCCGAGUACAGCGAAUGGUGGGUUAAGAGGAUCAACGAUAACAUUCCUGGGCCGAGUCUGGAAAAUAGUCAGUCGAUAGAAGAGCAUUUGCGUCUCGUCCCCACUGAGCUAGAGAUCAUAAAACAGGACUUUGAAAGGAAGAAUGCAGAAUUAGAGAAGAAAAUAUAGCAAAUGGAGGAAGAGAAAGUGAAUUUGAGACUGAAUGUGGAUGUUCAGAAACUCGAGGCUGAUAAACUAAGAAAGGGGAAGAAUAAGGCCGAAGAAGAGCUAGAUAGCUUGAAGACAGAUUACAAGAAGCUGCAUCUGUCCAUGAGAACUGCCGGGCUUGGAAAGACUUCAGAGCAGUGGCGUAAAAAAAUUCGAGAGGAAAGAAAUAAGUCAGACAGGUGGGAAAGGAAAUUUCGAGAGGUACAAGCACAAAAUGAAGCCUUGGAGAAGAGCUUGUCAGAGAGUCAAAAGGAAAAAGGAGAACUAAAAGACAGAGUAAUUGAGUUAGAAGGGUCUCUUCAUCAACAUAGAAGUCAAAAUUCUGUAUUAGAGCUAAAAGCAAGUCUGAGCAAGAUCGAAGAGAUGAAGGGUAAAAUAUAAGAGUUAGAAACAGCAUUGCGGAGGUGUGAGGUUCAAAUUGAGCAUCUAGAGGCAAAAGAAGGUCAUCAGAAUGAGCAACUUCAUUAUUUCCAGGAUCAAGUCAGGAGUAGAGAUCACGUUAUGGGAGAAGCUGUGAUGUAGAUUCAAGAAGUGGCAGAUCACUUGAAAACUUUGGCAGUGCAGGCCGACAUGUUGAGCGUGAAGUACGAGCUAGAGUAAGAUCGAGGACAAGAGUUAGCAUCGUUGCUUAAAAAGAUCAAGGUCUUAAGUAUUAGGGAAAAGCCAUAUUUGUAGCCUAUUCUAUGUAAAGAGAUUUAUUUUCUAAUAAAGUUUUUCUGAAAGUAAUUGAAAUUAGAAUUAACGCCUUUUCUGCAUUGCAUUUUCAUACAUCGCAUUGCAUGCAUUAAAAAUUAUUAAAGGGUUCUGAUUAAUCAAAAUCAUUCCUCAAUUAACCUAGAAUCUAACCAGCCAACUCAGCACCAUUACGGUACACGAGCGAAAUGAAGAAGUAUGGAUCAAAGAUUAGAAAAGCUUGAGCAAUUCCAGAAGGAAACGCAGGAUCAGCUUCAGCAGCAAAUAAAGGAACAUCUCGAGAAGAUUCAACAAAGUUUGAUAGAUAAAAUGGUAGAAUCUCAAGGAAGCAUGAUGACACAGUUAACGAGGUUGUUGACUGAAGGGAAAGAUAAGGGAAAGAGUCCUGUAACCAAUAUUGAAGAGGAAGGUGAGGAUGGACUCCAGUAUCCUCCAGGCUUUACUCCUUUACAUGCACAGCCUCAAGUUGAAGUAUACCCGCGUAAAUCUUCUGUUACAAUUAGGCCUCAACAAUUUCAGACCGAUGCUUCGAGGUCAAUGAAUUUCCAGGUCGGAUCAGGCUCUAGUCCUGAGGACAAUCCUACCAAUCCUAUUGUUCCUGAUUUCGAGAAAGCAGUUGAAAAAGAUAAAAUGAAAGAGGUAUUACCAAAGUAAUUUGAAGAAAGAUGGAAGUGGAUUGAGGAGAAAUUCAAAGCAAUGGAAACUACUAAGAGAUGUUAGGGGAUUGAUGCUAAGGAUUUAAGUUUGGUACCGGAUUUGGUGCUUCCUUACAAGUUUAAAAUGCCAGAUUUUGAGAAGUAUAAUGGGACUACUUGCCCUGAGGCCCACAUUACUAUGUUUUGUAGGUGAAUGACUGGGUAUGUCAAUAAUGACCAGUUAUUGAUACACUGUUUUCAAGAUAGCCUCACGGGGGCAGUGUCUAAAUGGUAUAAUCAAUUAAGUCGUGCUAGGAUUAGCUCUUGGAGGGAUUUAGCACAGGCUUUUAUGAAACAGUACAGUCAUGUAGCGGAAAUGGUUCCUGAUAGGAUUACCUUGCAGAACAUGGAGAAAAAGUCGAAUGAAGGUUUUAGAUAGUACGCUCAGAGGUGGAGGGAGGUGGCAGUGCAGGUCCAACCACCGCUCCUUGAAAGAGAAAUGACGAUGCUCUUUGUAAAUAUGCUGAAGGCCCCCUUCAUCACACAUAUGUUAGGCAGUGCCACGAAAAAUUUUGCUGACAUAGUCAUGAGUGGUGAGAUGAUUGAAAGUUCUAUAAAGAGCGAGAAUAUUGAUGUUGGAGAGAACAACAUAAGGUAAAACUCAAAGAAAAAAGAAAGCGAGGUGAACAACGUGAAUACAUAUAAUAAGUCAAUUACGGUGAAUCACAAGAAGAUAGUGGCAGGUCAACAGGGUUCAUCAAAACAGGAAUCUGGUGUGAGGCCAAAUACUGAGAGGCCUCAGUUCACACCCAUCCCUAUGUCAUACAAAGAGUUGUAUCAGAAUUUAUUUAACGCGCACGUUGUUGCCCCAUUUUAUUUGACUCCUUUACGGCCUCCAUAUCCUAAAUGGUAUGACUCGAAUACACAAUGCGAUUACCAUGCAGGAGUUACGGGGCAUUCCAUAGAGUAUUGUACUGCUUUUAAAAAGCUUGUUGAGAAGCUCAUUAAGAUGGGCAUUGUCAAGGUGGAUGAUUCAUCAGGUACGGAAAAUCCAUUACCCAAUUAUACUGAUGCUAGGGUAAACAUGGUGGGUGAAGGUACGGGGAAGAAGGUCAAGGAGAAUAUUGCUGAGGUAAAGAUCCCUUUGAAGAGGGUUUGGAAAGAAAUGGUAGGAAGAGGGUUAAUUGUUUCGGAUUUGGUGGGGGGUGGCAAUACCCAAAAUUAUUGUGAGUUCCAUCAUGAGGUGGGACACGAAAUUUAGGGAUGUGGGAAAUUCAUGGCUCUGGUUCAGAGCAUGAUGGAUAAUGGAGAAAUAGAGUUUUUUAAAGAGGAAGAAAGAAAAGGAAGUAUAUGCGCAUCAGAGUCGGAGACGAGGAUUCCGAAAGUUAAUCAUCCUGUCAUUAUCAUCUCGCGCCCUAGGGUUACUGAAGUCAGGGCACAGGUGACACCAAAGAUUGUCAUUCAGAAGCUGACGAAGUUUUCGUAUAAGGAUAGCAAGAAGAUCCCCUAGAAUUAUGAGUACGAGGUAACAGUUUUGGGAAAGGAAGCUUCAGUCAGUGUUGCGAAAGAAAACCAAAAGACAGGUUUUUGUAUGAAUACUAAGAAGCAUGGUGGUUGGAUAAAUUCCCAAAUAGAAUUGGUAGAGGGAAUAGUCUUUGCAGUAGAGCAAAAGGAAGAGAAGAGGGUUGACUUAAGGCCAUUGAUUAAUGAGCCAAUAAAGGAAGAAGAGGCCACUGAAUUCUUAAAAUUUCUGAAGCACAGUGAGUAUAGCGUAGUAGAGCAGCUGCAUAAGCAACCAACUCGUAUAUCUGUGUUGGCUUUGCUCAUGAAUUCAAAGGUACAUCGAAAUGCACUGAUAAUUUUAUCUUCUUCAAUGAUGACAAAAUACCUGCGGGAGGUAUGGGGUCCACUAAAGCUUUGCACAUUACUAUUUGGUGUAAAGGGUACAUGCUACCAGGAGUUUUGAUUGAUAAUGGAUUCGCAUUGAAUGUACUUCCCUUAUCUACUCUCAACAGGCUACCUGUGGAUAGCUCACAUAUGAAAACGUGCCAAAAUGUGGUAAGGGCGUUUGAUGGAACGGAAAUGAAGGUUUUGGGAAGAAUUGAGAUACCAUUGUUGAUUGGCCCAAAUACUUAUGAAGUAGAUUUCAUUGGAUAUCAAGCCUUCAUAUAACUGUUUAUUGGGGAGACCUUGGAUACAUUCGACAGGGGCUGUGGCUUCAUCGCUGCAUCAGAAGUUAAAAUUAGUGUUAGAAGGACGGUUAGUGACAAUAAAUGCUGAAGAAGGUAUUAUUGCGUCAAUAACCAACAAUACACCAUACGUGGAGACGGAUGAGGAGGCGGUGGAGUGUUCUUUCUGGACUUUAGAAUUCAUAAAGUCAACAUUUAUUGCUGUGGGGAAUAGAAUUCCAGUACCGAAGAUAUCCAGGACUACAAGAAUGAGACUUCAAUUAAUGGUGGGAAAAGGAGCUGUACCGGGAAAAGGAUUGGGAAGAUAUUUGGACGGAGGAGUUGAAGCACCAGUGAUGAAAGAAAAGUUUAAUCAUUUUGGUCUGGGCUAUAGACCAGAUGUAAAACAAAGAAGAAAGGAAAUGGAGAAAAGAUAGGAGAGAAGAACGGCAUGCCUGAGUGGAAAUAAAGUUAGGUGGGAGCCUAUGGCUUUUCCUCACAUAUCCAAGACCUUCGUAUCAGGAGGGUUUAUUCAUUCGGAACGAAGAGUGCUUGAAGUGGAAGGUGUUGAAGAAAUGCUGGGAGAUGUUCACAUCAAUGCCCUAGACACAGGUGAAAGAGAGACCUUGCUAGAGAUUCGCCCUUACGAGCCUGGAAGUGAUCUAAACAAUUGGACUGUGGAAGAGAUUCCUAUAGUUUUUAGAGCUUGUUCAGAGUAAAUAUGCAAAACAUCGUUGUUGUUUUUACUUAAGAUAUAUAGGAAUGUCUUUAUGGAUUAUGCAUAUGUUGAACGUUAUAAUAAAUACACUUUUUCAUAUGCAUUUUUUGAGCCAGUAUUCUUUCAUUCUUUUUCGAGUAAUUAUUCUUUUAUUCUUUUUCUACAUCAUUCUUUUAUUCAUUUCAUAAUCAUAUUUUGUUCAUAAAUUCAUACAUUCUUUGUAUAUUCUUUGGAACUUAUCAUAGGUCCCCGGAUAUCAAUGAUAUGAAUGACACUGUUUCGGACUCAGAAUCACCUUUUGAACAAGACAUGUGUUUAAAGGGAUCACAGGAUUUUGAAGAUGACAUAGACUGUGAUGUAUCUCCGGACUUAUUGAGAAUGGUAGAAUAGAAAGAUAAGCAAAUAUUACCUCAUAAAGAAUCAUUGGAGAUUGUGAGUCUAGAGGAGGGAAAAGAGGUAAAGAUUGGAACUGACAUUUCCGUCAAGACAAGGCAAGACCUCAUUGAAUUACUCCGUGAAUUCAAAGAUGUCUUUGCGUGGUCAUAUCAGGAUAUGCUUGGGUUAAGCACUGAUAUUGUGGUACACUGUCUUCCUAUAAAAGAGGAUUGCAAGUCAGUUCAGCAGAAGCUCAGAAGAAUGAGGCCUGACAUUGUGCUAAAGAUAAAAGAAGAAGUCAAGAAACAGUUUGAUGCUGGGCUCCUACAAGAGGUCAAGUAUUCAGAAUGGGUAGCUAAUGUUGUCCCUGUCCCAAAAAAAGAUGGGAAGGUGCGAAUGUGUGUGGAUUACAGGGAUUUGAACAGGGCCAGUCCAAAAGAUAAUUUUCCGUUGCCUCACAUUAAUACUUUGGUAGAUAAUACUGCAGGCUAUUCAUUGUUUUCUUUCAUGGACGGUUUUUCUGGAUACAAUCAAAUAAAGAUGCAUCCAGAAGAUAUGAGAAAGACCACAUUUAUCACUUUGUGGGGAACGUUCUGUUAUAAAGUGAUGCCCUUUGGAUUAAAGAAUGCGAAGGCAACUUAUCAAAGAGCUAUGGUAACUUUGUUUCAUGACAUGAUGCAUAAGGAGAUUGAGGUUUAUGUUGACGAUAUGAUUGCAAAAUCCAAAAAGAAAGAGGAGCAUGUUCAAGUUCUGCGGAAAUUAUUUUUGAGACUAAGGAAUUUCCAGCUCAAGCUUAAUCCAACAAAGUGCACCUUCGGGGCUAGAUCAAGGAAGUUGUUGGGCUUCAUAGUUAGUGGGAAAGGGAUUGAAGUUGACCCAGACAAAGUUAGGGCAAUACAAGAUUUACCUCCACCACACACUUGGAAAAAAGUACGGGGUUUUUUGGGGAGACUGAAUUACAUUUCUCGGUUUAUUUCACAAUUAACUGAGAAAUACGAUCCCAUAUUCUGUCUUCUAAAGAAGCAUAAUCCGGCCGUAUGGGAUGAAGAAUGUCAGAAGGCUUUUGACAAAAUAAAACAAUAUUUGUCUGAACCUCCAGUGCUAUCACCACCUAGUUUGGAUAGGCCAUUAAUACUAUAUUUAACAGUGUUUGACAAUUCCAUGGGGUGCAUGUUAGGCCAACAUGAUGAGACAGGGAGAAAAGAAAGGGCAAUAUACUAUCUCAGUAAGAAAUUCACUGAUUGUGAAGCGAGAUAUUCAGCUAUUGAGAAGUUGUGUUGUGCUUUGGUUUGGACAACUCGAAGAUUACCGCAAUAUAUGCUGUAUCAUACGACAUUGCUAAUUUCAAAUUUAGACCCUUUAAAGUAUAUGAUGGAGUUGACUGCUUUGAAUGGGAGAAUGGCUAGAUGGCAUAUCUUGCUUUCUGAAUUUGACAUAGCAUAUGUAAGUCAGAAGGCUGUGAAAGGGAGCGCAAUAGCUGACUUUUUAGCUAGCAGAGCUUUGGUGGAUUAUGAGCCUUUGAACUUUGAUUUCCCAAAUGAGAAUUUGAUGUGUGUGGCAACCACUGAAGAAAAUUCCCAAAUGGAUCAGGUGUGGAAGUUAAAUUUUGAUGGAGCCGCAAAUGCUGUGGGGAAUGGAAUUGGGGCAAUCUUAGUAUCUCCAAGUGGAGAUCACUAUCCUAUUGCUAGCAAAUUAGAUUUUGAUUGUACGAACAAUAUGACAGAAUAUGAAGCGUGCAUUAUGGGUAUUCGUGUAGCCAUCGAACGUAAAAUUAAAGUGUUAGAAGUAUAUGGGGAUUCCCCAUUGGUGAUAUACCAACUCAAAGGAGAAGGGAGACAAGAGACCCUAAACUGAUCAAUUAUUGAAAGAUAGUUCUUGAAUUAAUGGAUGAGUUUGAUGACAUUACUUUUUGUUAUCUUCCACGAGAUGAGAAUCAGAUGGCUGAUGCGCUGGCUACCUUAGCCUCCAUAAUCAGAGUGAAUAGGUUAGAGGACGUGAAGCCUAUUCAGAUGAGUAUUUCUGAAACCCCGGCUCAUUAUUAUAAUAUUGAGGAAGAGGAAAAAGAUGACCAUCCUUGGUAUUUGGAUAUAUUGCGAUAUGUGAAAAAUUGUGAGUAUCCAGAUCAGGCAACGGAGAAUGAUAGGAAAGCAUUGAGAAGAUUGGCAAUUGGCUAUGUCCUAGAUGGAGAGAACCUAUACAAAAAAUGGAAGGAUCAAGUACUGCGAAGAUGUGUGGACGCAGUGGAAGUUAGAAAAAUUCUAGAAAAAGUCCAUGAUGGUAUUUGUGGAACGCAUGCAAAUGGUUUCACAAUGGCCAAGCAGGUCAUGAGAUUUGGGUAUUAUUGGUCUACUAUGGAAAGAGAUUGCAUCAACUAUGCUAAAAAGUGCCAUAAAUGCCAAAUUUAUGGCGAUAAAAUGCAUGCACCUCCUUCACUUCUUCAUGUUAUGACUUCUUCAUGGCCUUUCUCUAUGUGGGGUAUGAACGUCAUUGGGCCAAUAUCGCCAAAAGCUUCUAAUGGGCAUCGCUUCAUUUUUGUGGUUAUUGACUACUUUACCAAGUGGGUAGAAGCUGCUUCAUAUGCAAAUGUCACAAAGUCAGCAGUUAGCAGGUUCUUAAAGAAGGAAAUCAUAUGUCGAUAUGGAAUGCCUGAGAGGAUCAUAUCUGAUAAUGCGCUGAAUUUGAACAAUAGUGCAAUAGCGGAGGUCUGCAGUCAAUUCGGGAUCAGGCAUCAUAACUCGUCGCCAUACCGCCCAAAGAUGAAUGGUGUAGUAGAAGCAGCCAAUAAGAAUAUCAAGAAAAUUGUGGGAAAGAUGACUGAGACUUACAAGGAUUGGCAUGAGAAAUUACUAUUCGCUCUCUUUGCUUAUAGAACGUCUGUCAGGACUUCGACUGGGGCAAUGCCUUUCUCUUUGGUUUAUGGGAUGGAAGCAGUCUUACCUAUUGAGAUAGAAAUCCUUCUCUCCGGGUAUUAUCUGAAUUGAAAUUGGAUGAGGCAGAAUGGGUUCAAUCUCGUUACGAUCAAUUGAACUUAAUAGAAGGGAAAAAGCUAAAGGCUGUUCAGCAUGGUCAAAUGUAUCAAAAGCGGAUGAUGCGGGCCUACAACAAAAAGGUUCGUCCUAGAGAAUUUAAUGAAGGGGAGCUGGUGUUGAAAAAGAUCAUUCCUAUACAAAAGGAUUUUAGAGGAAAAUGGAUGCCAAGGUCCAUAUGUUGUAAAGAAAGCCUUUUUAGGGGGAGCUUUGAUCUUGAAUGAGAUGGAUGACAAAGAUUUGCCAAACCCUAUAAACUCAGAUUCAGUUAAGAAAUAUUUUUCUUAAAAAAAAACGCAUGGAGAGGCCAAGGUGAAAACCCGCAAAGGGCGCCUUGAGACCAAAGGGGAUUUGAGUUGAAAACCUGAAAAAGGGCAGCUCAAAUGUUGAACAAGUGAGGCAUCUAGUGAUCUUGCAAUGAUUGAAUUAGUGGGAAAUAGGACGCAACAUCUUGAGGCAUCAUCAGAGUACUGUAGAUCUUCUAAGCACUGUCGAACUCAGAAUGGUCUUCAGAUAGUUUGUGCAGAGAAGUUCAAACUGCGAUAUCUGAGGCGCCUAGUCUUCUCAGUAUUUAUAUCUUGGAAUACCUUAUUCUUUUUCAAGAUUUGUGUUUCUAAUCCAUUUUUUUAUUCUUAGUGUUCUUUAUGAUUUAUUUAUCUUGAGUUUUAUUAUCAAUGAAUUUCAUCUUGUCAAUUUCGAUAGUUUUAUUCAAACAUUUUUUCAUUGAAAUAAUGGGAUAAUAAUACUUUUAUAAGCGAAAUUUUGCAUAUUAUUCUAGAAGUUUCUAAAUAAUACGGGAACCUGAAAUAGGACUAUUGUUUAGAACACACCAGGUUUAAAGGUUGAAAUAUCUGGGAAGGAAAAGUCUAAGUUGAGACCAUCCUUUUAGAUUUUGUUAUCAAAAUAUUGAUUGAACAAAAUGGCAAGUUAUGCGAUAGCCAACAUGUAGGUUGGUGAUGAGGUUUAAAUGAACAGGUAAGUGAUUAUCACCGAGCAAUAGAAAGGGGUUUCCUUGGAGAAGAGGAUCCUUCAUUUGUGGAUAAACAUUUGGUAUGACACCCUGGGAAUGGGGUAAAAGACCAAAGAGCUUCACAUUCUGGAUUCUUGAAUUCUGAUAGGAGAUGAUUGAAAAAGCCCGAUUUUUCUACCCUUGGGUCACAAUUGGAGAAUGAUGGUACAAAUUUUGCGUCCCAGUGGAUUGAACUUUGAAGUUUACAGCGGGGCAACUGGAUUAAGUGCUUUUGGAGAUGCUAGCUAAGUAAGAAGGCGUUGUAGCACGUCAGCGAUAAAGCCUUAAUAAACUUUGAGUAAUGAUUACCUAAGCAUUAAGGAGGGAUCAUUCUUGAAAUAAUAUUCUACAUUCAUUCAAAUGUCAUUCAUACACGUCUAGUUAGGAGCAUUUGAAUUCAUUCUGAUCAUGACAUCCUAAUCACUAGGCGUAAUUAGGUUCAUAAAUUGAAUUGUACAGGUCAUAUUCCUCAGAGAACAGAUCGAAGAAAGUAAUCCUAUCUCCCUGAAGUUGCAGUGGAGCGGAUUAAAAUUAGAUCUCACCUCUCUGAAGUUGCAGAGAGCAUGUCGCAUCCAGUCUUAUCUCCCUGAAGAUGCAGCGGAGUAGACAGAAGAAAGUAAUCUUAUCCCCCUAAAGUUGUAGUGGAGCGGAUUAAAAUCAGAUCUCACCUCUCUGAAGUUGCAGAGAGCAUAUCGCAUCCAGUCUUAUCUCCCUGAAGUUGCAGUAGAGCAGACAGGAGAAAUCAAUCCUAUCUCCCUGAAGUUGCAGUGGAGCGGAUUAAAAUCACAGAUCUUGUCUCUUUAAAGUUGUAGUAGAACAGAUGACAUCAGACUUAUCCUUAAAGUUGCAGCAGAAUAAGUCGAAGCUACAGGUCUUAUCUCUCUGAGGUUGUAGUGGAGCAGACUAAAGAUAGCAAAUUUUUGUUCUUUUGAGAAGGUACAAGGUACAAGUCCUAUCUCCCUGAUGUUGUAGUGGAGUGGAUUGAAGCACCGAUUCUUAAACCUCUGAAAACUCAGUAAGUUGGAAUGAGGCUACUUGAAGAACGCUAAAGUCCAACAUGCUCGGGCAAAAUUGGCUAUCUUAAAGUCUUUGCUCUGUUCUCGUUUUACGACAACAAGCAAAGAGGGGCAAUUGUGAUACCCAAUUAUUGCCCAGGGCCCAAAUUAACCAAUUUUAACCCAAUUACAUUUGGCCCAAUAAGGCCCAAAUCAUUACAAAUCCCAAACCCAAGUCUAACCUUGGCCUAACCCUAAACAGCUAGCAGCAAAGUCAGCAGCCGCGGCAACCUCACCCACGCCUCAACAUCGCCCCAUGUUCAGCACUUUGCGCACGUCCUCCACGACCUUCAUACCUGCGAAAAAUUGAUCCAAACGGCAAUAGAUGUAAAAAUAACAGAAUAGAUUUUUAUUUAUUGAUUUUGAUUAUUAUUUGGGGGGUCGAAUAUAAAAGGGCAAUUUCAAUCUGUAAAGGGGUUAGCAAUAUUGUAUGAAAAAAAUAUUAAAGAAAAUACGAAAAUAAGGAAUCAAAAAGGCAAAAUUUUGAAGGUAAUUGUUCUGUUCCUUUUUUUAUUUGUUUUUCCUUUUUCAUUGUCUUUCUUGUUUCUUAAAACAAAAGCGGAAGAGGGAAGUAGAGGAGGACUUUUCGUCGCAUGCGGCGUUGAGGGAUCUUCAUUCCAUCGUCGGAAUGAGAGGAAUGCAGAGCGGCAGUGGGAAAGGGAGGCUGCGGCAAAACACAAAA
rnacentral:lncRNA from 1 species